rnacentral:rRNA from 1 species
CAGUCGCCACGGUAAUACGAAGGGGGCUAGCGUUGUUCGGAAUUACUGGGCGUAAAGCGCACGUAGGCGGAUAUUUAAGUCAGGGGUGAAAUCCCGCAGCUCAACUGCGGAACUGCCUUUGAUACUGGGUAUCUUGAGUAUGGAAGAGGUUAGUGGAAUUGCGAGUGUAGAGGUGAAAUUCGUAGAUAUUCGCAGGAACACCAGUGGCGAAGGCGGCUAACUGGUCCAUAACUGACGCUGAGGUGCGAAAGCGUGGGGAGCAAACAGGAUUAGAUACCCCAGUAGUCCCUGUCUCUUAUAC